AAAAUGCGAUAAGUAGCGUGAAUUGCAGACGCUUUGAACGUUAAAAUUUCGAACGCACAUUGCGCCAUAGGAGUCCUACCCUAUGGCACAUCUGGUUGAGGGUCGUGAUCAAGAAAACAGCUAGUCCUGGGCUGUAGUAAUUGGCUAAUUGGUGGAUCAUCAGACCGGCAUACGCACUAUUGCCGGUGGUGUUCUAUCAUAAU
rnacentral:misc_RNA from 1 species